CGUUCAGACUCACACACUUUAUAACACACUGCUGUUUACCACGGUACACAACCAGCAAACACAAUGAAUCUCUUCAGCAGCUUCAUCUGGAUUGUGACAGCUUUUCUUCCAGCAGCAUCCAGAGGAAACACUGUGACUCAGCCUGAAGUUCUGACUGUUUCUGAAGGACGAGACGUCACUAUAGAGUGUAAAACUGAUCCUGGAAUAUAUGGCGAUGCUUUAGCUUGGUAUCAGCAGAAAUCUGGAGAAACUCCUAAACUCAUCAUUAAAAAAAUAAAUGAACUCUAUGAUAAGAGUUUCAGACGAUUCAGUGGGAAUGGAGUACGAGAUGGGACUGAUUUCACUCUGACCAUCAGAGGAGUCCAGACUGAAGAUGCCGGACAUUAUUACUGUAUGGGUUUUAACUGCAGACAAAAUUCUGUUGGUGAUUGUGUGGGUGGUGAUGUGUUCACACAGUGAUUGUGAUUCGUACAAAAACCUGUG